GUACUGUAUAACUUUAAAAAUUUAAUAAGUUAACAAACGAGUAAACCGUAAACCAUAUUUCCGGUUAGUGAAUGGAAAGAAAAAAACUUAUAGGAAUUAGGGUUUUGAGCUACGCCGCAUAGUAACCCUCUAUAUAAAUUGAGCUUUCUCUUCUAUCCCUUAUAUCUUCUUCACAGUCUUCUCUAGCUUUUUUCGUAAUCGAUUAUGUGUACAUAGUUUCUUAGUUUGAUAGUAAAAAGAUAGCCCGAUGAAGAAGAAUUCCCAAAAGAUAGGAAGUGCCGUAUGACACUUUAAACGCAGAGGCGGACUGAAUCGAGGAUUGCAUCGGGUCUUUUUCGAUUUCUCAAUCCCCCGUUCAGUCUUCUCCCCCACGACCGUACGCGGGUCCUAACCCGGGUCCGUUUACGACUCGUGACCGAAGCUGCCCGGAUCGGGUUGGGUUAUCUUGACCGUACUUCCCACCGUUUCCGUGUCCUCUUCUGUGUGGUUGAUUUUAAACGGGUUUCUGAGGGUUUUUAUUUUUUUUAUUUAAUCAAUUGUCCGAUGCCACGUCGACGAUAGCUUUUAUUGGCGAUGAUCGUCGAUGCUACAUUGGACAUAAACGGAUGUUUGUGUUUCGCUAUUCUGAUAGGAACCUGUGGAUCUUGAUUCUUUUGUGAUCUACGGAGCCAUUUCGGCGAUUACAUUUUUUUGGUUAAUAUUAAUGAUAGUGAUUAGUGGGAAGGAGAAUUGAUGAUGAUUAUUGCUAAAAUAUGGAAUUACCGUCUGAAUAUUGAUGUGAAAAACGCUGGCUUUUCUGAAAUUUACUUACCCACUAAUAUUUUUUUCAAAAGAUUUGAUUUAUUUUUUGUUAAAGGACAGUGACGAUUGAUAUUAAGGUCUCGUUCGUCGUAACAUAGGUCUUAAAAGCCUAUUUGCCGACCAUUCUGUUAUAUCACCACCCAUAUUCUGAGUCCUUUUUAUCUCUAUAUUAUUUUUUUUGUACUUGGCCGAUGAUUAAAACGAUUAAGACAAGCAUAUGUCCGAAUUAAUCUAUGUUGAUAAUCCUAAACUUUCAAUGAGGCUGAUUUUUCUAUAUUAUUUUUCUUGUUUGAGUUUAGUAGAAAGGAAGGGUCAAGUGAGGAAUAAUAAUGCAUAGUUCAGAUGAUCACCAUGAUUACAAAUCUGUAGCAUAGUCUUUCGCUCCUAUCUGAUGACCCACUCCUAAUUCUUGUUUUCUGAGUUCUGUGCUUACCAAACUUUAGACAUUGAAUGUUUGGUAAGACAUCGUUGACAUACCAAGUCAAAUGUUUCAAUGUUGAAUAGGGAUGUAACUGACAACCUUGUAUUUUUAAUAACUGCUAUAGAAAAUAUUCUAUUCUCAUAGGCUCGUUGGAAAUUUGAAGUUUUGUAAAAGAAAUGGCUGUGAACCCGGGCUUGUGACAAUCUUAGGUUGAAAUAUAUAGUUUAUAAGCUUGAUACACCAAAUGCAAAUGAAACUUGGAGAAACUUUUUGUAACAUAGGAGUUUGUUUCCCCUUACACUAUUAACCAACCAAUGGAAAUGUUAUUAGAGUCCUACCUUUACAAAGUGAUUAGCAAUGUCAAUUGGGCGGGCCGGGCGGGUUUGGGCGUGUCCGAAUGGGCUUCAUUUUUUUGCUGGACAAAUUUGGUCGAAGCCCAAAUGGGACCAUAACCAAAUGGGACCAUAACCAAAUAAGACCAUGAUUUACUAGAUUUGUUGAGCUGUCCAAAUAAGCCCAAAUGGGACUCAAAAGCGGAGAAGAAUCGAUGAAGGAAAAGGAGAGUCGAUGAGGGAGGAGGAGAACCGAAGACGGCGAAGAAGGAUCGACGAAAUCGCAGAAGAUCCGACGAAAUCGCAGAAAAAUCGCACGAAAUCGACGAAAACGGUGGAGAAAGAGAUUUAAGGUUGUGCAUUAGAAAAGCAAAAGAAAGAACCAAAUCAGCUGUUAUGCCUCCCAUGCUAUGAGCAACAAUAAUCACUUGUUCAUCAUCAUCAUCCGAGCUGAGAACCUCAAGCAAGGGUUUGGAGUAAUCUUCAAAGCUCUGUAUCUCUUCCACUUUGACCGUGCUUAUACCCGAAGCAGCAAGAUCAACAGCAACCACGCUGUGACCGGCAGCCUAAAGAUGUGGUAUUAUCUUGUACCAACACCAUGCCCCAUGGCAGACCCCAUGACAAGCACAAACCUCUUCUGUUUCUUCUUUUCUUUCUCCAUUUUGAUUUUUUCUGUUACCGGAGUGUUCGAGAACUCUCUUUUGUAUCUGUGUAGAUAUAUGAUGUUUCUCACGCAAACUCUGUCAUAAUUUUGUUUUCUAUAUCACCACCCCCAUAUCUUGCGGAUAUUGCUUUUCUUGAAUUUAUAAGUAAAGUAGAGUUUACAGGUUCAAACGCACAAACUGCUUCUGCUUCUCUACUCCAUUGACUUGGUUUCUGUUUACAGGCUGUCA